AAUAGAUACCCGGGUAGUCCACGCCGUAAACGAUGAUAACUAGCUGUCUGGGUUCAUGGAACUUAGGUGGCGCAGCUAACGCAUUAAGUUAUCCGCCUGGGGAGUACGGUCGCAAGAUUAAAACUCAAAGGAAUUGACGGGGGCCUGCACAAGCGGUGGAGCAUGUGGUUUAAUUCGAGGCAACGCGCAGAACCUUACCAGCGUUUGACAUCCUCAUCGCGGAUUUCAGAGAUGAUUUCCUUCAGUUCGGCUGGAUGAGUGACAGGUGCUGCAUGGCUGUCGUCAGCUCGUGUCGUGAGAUGUUGGGUUAAGUCCCGCAACGAGCGCAACCCUCGUCCUUAGUUGCCAUCAUUCAGUUGGGGCACGUCUAAGGAAACCGCCGGUGAUAAGCCGGAGGAAGGUGGGGAUGACGUCAAGUCCUCAUGGCCCUUACGCGCUGGGCUACACACGUGCUACGAAUGGCAGGUACAGUGGCAGCAAACCCGCGAGGUGAGCUAAUCUCCAAAACCUGUCUCGU
rnacentral:rRNA from 1 species